GGGCCCGCACAAGCGGUGGAGCAUGUGGUUUAAUUCGAUGCAACGCGAAGAACCUUACCAGGACUUGACAUACUACAAAUUCUUUUGAGAAAAAGAAGUGCCUUCGGGAAUGUAGAUACAGGUGGUGCAUGGCUGUCGUCAGCUCGUGUCGUGAGAUGUUGGGUUAAGUCCCGCAACGAGCGCAACCCUUAUUUUUAGUUACCAAUUCGUUGGGUUCUCUAGAAAGACUGCCGGUGACAAACCGGAGGAAGGUGAGGAUGACGUCAAGUCAGCAUGCCCCUUAUGUCCUGGGCUACACACGUGCUACAAUGGUUAAGACAAAGAGUCGCGAGCUCGUGAGAGUCAGCUAAUCUCAUAAACUUAGCCCAAGUUCAGAUUGUAGGCUGCAACUCGCCUACAUGAAGUUGGAAUCGCUAGUAAUCGC
rnacentral:rRNA from 1 species